UAGAGUCUUGUAGAGGGGGGUAGAAUUCCAGGUGUAGCGGUGAAAUGCGUAGAGAUCUGGAGGAAUACCGGUGGCGAAGGCGGCCCCCUGGACAAAGACUGACGCUCAGGUGCGAAAGCGUGGGGAGCAAACAGGAUUAGAUACCCUGGUAGUCCACGCCGUAAACGAUGUCGAUUUGGAGGUUGUGCCCUUGAGGCGUGGCUUCCGGAGCUAACGCGUUAAAUCGACCGCCUGGGGAGUACGGCCGCAAGGUUAAAACUCAAAUGAAUUGACGGGGGCCCGCACAAGCGGUGGAGCAUGUGGUUUAAUUCGAUGCAACGCGAAGAACCUUACCUGGUCUUGACAUCCACAGAACUUUCCAGAGAUGGAUUGGUGCCUUCGGGAACUGUGAGACAGGUGCUGCAUGGCUGUCGUCAGCUCGUGUUGUGAAAUGUUGGGUUAAGUCCCGCAACGAGCGCAACCC
rnacentral:rRNA from 1 species